rnacentral:rRNA from 1 species
AAUGGGCGUGCUACCAUGCAAGUCGAACGGAGAAUCAGCAAUGAUUCUUAGUGGCGAACGGGUGAGUAACGCGUAGACAACCUGCCUUCUAGAUGGGGACAACACUGCGAAAGUGGUGCUAAUACCGAAUGUUGUAUUAAGCCUGCAUGGGCUUGAUACUAAAGGUGGCCUCUAUUUAUAAGCUAUCACUAGAAGAUGGGUCUGCGUCUGAUUAGCUAGUUGGUGAGGUAAUGGCUCACCAAGGCGAUGAUCAGUAGCCGGUCUGAGAGGAUGAACGGCCACACUGGGACUGAGACACGGCCCAGACUCCUACGGGAGGCAGCAGUGGGGAAUCUUCCGCAAUGGACGAAAGUCUGACGGAGCAACGCCGCGUGAGUGAAGAAGGUUUUCGGAUCGUAAAGCUCUGUCUUUGAGGACGAAUGUGUCUAAUGUGAAUAAUGUUAGAUAAUGACGGUACUCGAGGAGGAAGCCACGGCUAACUACGUGCCAGCAGCCGCGGUAAUACGUAGGUGGCAAGCGUUGUCCGGAAUUAUUGGGCGUAAAGCGCGCGCAGGCGGGAUAUUAAGUCUGUUUUAAAAGUUCGGGGCUCAACCCCGUGAUGGAAUGGAAACUAAUAUUCUUGAGUGCAGGAGAGGAAAGUGGAAUUCCCAGUGUAGCGGUGAAAUGCGUAGAUAUUGGGAGGAACACCAGUGGCGAAGGCGACUUUCUGGACUGUGUCUGACGCUGAGGCGCGAAAGCCAGGGGAGUGAACGGGAUUAGAUACCCCGGUAAUCCUGGCCGUAAACGAUGGGUACUAAGGUGUAGGAGGUAUCGACCCCUU